rnacentral:piRNA from 1 species
UUGUGUCUUGAUUGUGGAUGUGAUGUGACCU